ACAGAGGGGGCAAGCGUUGUUCGGAAUUACUGGGCGUAAAGGGCGCGUAGGCGGCCUACUAAGUCAUACGUGAAAUCCCACGGCUCAACCGUGGAACUGCGUCUGAGACUGGAAGGCUUGAAUUCGGGAGAGGGAUGCGGAAUUCCAGGUGUAGCGGUGAAAUGCGUAGAUAUCUGGAGGAACACCGGUGGCGAAGGCGGCAUCCUGGACCGACAUUGACGCUGAGGCGCGAAAGCCAGGGGAGCAAACGGGAUUAGAUACCCCGGUAGUCCUGGCCCUAAACGAUGAAUGCUUGGUGUGGCGGGUAUCGAUCCCUGCCGUGCCGAAGCUAACGCAUUAAGCAUUCCGCCUGGGGAGUACGGUCGCAAGGCUG
rnacentral:rRNA from 1 species